UCCUUGUCGGGUAAGUUCCGACCUGCACGAAUGGCGUAAUGAUGGCCAGGCUGUCUCCACCCGAGACUCAGUGAAAUUGAACUCGCUGUGAAGAUGCAGUGUACCCGCGGCAAGACGGAAAGACCCCGUGAACCUUUACUAUAGCUUGACACUGAACAUUGAGCCUUGAUGUGUAGGAUAGGUGGGAGGCUUAGAAGUGUGGACGCCAGUCUGCAUGGAGCCGACCUUGAAAUACCACCCUUUAAUGUUUGAUGUUCUAACGUUGACCCGUAAUCCGGGUUGCGGACAGUGUCUGGUGGGUAGUUUGACUGGGGCGGUCUCCUCCUAAAGAGUAACGGAGGAGCACGAAGGUUGGCUAAUCCUGGUCGGACAUCAGGAGGUUAGUGCAAUGGCAUAAGCCAGCUUGACUGCGAGCGUGACGGCGCGAGCAGGUGCGAAAGCAGGUCAUAGUGAUCCGGUGGUUCUGAAUGGAAGGGCCAUCGCUCAACGGAUAAAAGGUACUCCGGGGAUAACAGGCUGAUACCGCCCAAGAGUUCAUAUCGACGGCGGUGUUUGGCACCUCGAUGUCGGCUCAUCACAUCCUGGGGCUGAAGUAGGUCCCAAGGGUAUGGCUGUUCGCCAUUUAAAGUGGUACGCGAGCUGGGUUUAGAACGUCGUGAGACAGUUCGGUCCCUAUCUGCCGUGGGCGCUGGAGAACUGAGGGGGGCUGCUCCUAGUACGAGAGGACCGGAGUGGACGCAUCACUGGUGUUCGGGUUGUCAUGCCAAUGGCACUGCCCGGUAGCUAAAUGCGGAAGAGAUAAGUGCUGAAAGCAUCUAAGCACGAAACUUGCC
rnacentral:rRNA from 1 species